UACGUAGGCAGCGAGCGUUGUUCGGAGUUACUGGGCGUAAAGAGUGCGUAGGCGGUUUUCUAAGUUUGGUGUGAAAUCUCCCGGCUUAACUGGGAGGGUGCGCCGAAAACUGGAAGGCUUGAGUAUGGGAGAGGUAAGCGGAAUUCCUGGUGUAGCGGUGAAAUGCGUAGAUAUCAGGAGGAACACCGAUGGCGAAGGCAGCUCGCUGGGACGGUACUGACGCUGAGACGCGAAAGCGUGGGGAGCAAACAGG
rnacentral:rRNA from 1 species